rnacentral:rRNA from 1 species
GUGUCAGCCGCCGCGGUAAUACGUAGGUCCCGAGCGUUAUCCGGAUUUAUUGGGCGUAAGGCGAGCGCAGGCGGUUAGAUAAGUCUGAAGUUAAAGGCUGUGGCUUAACCAUAGUACGCUUUGGAAACUGUUUAACUUGAGUGCAGAAGGGGAGAGUGGAAUUCCAUGUGUAGCGGUGAAAUGCGUAGAUAUAUGGAGGAACACCGGUGGCGAAAGCGGCUCUCUGGUCUGUAACUGACGCUGAGGCUCGAAAGCGUGGGGAGCAAACAGGAUUAGAUACCCUGGUAGUCCACGCCGUAAACGAUGAGUGCUAGGUGUUGGGUCCUUUCCGGGACUCAGUGCCGCAGCUAACGCAUUAAGCACUCCGCCUGGGGAGUACGACCGCAAGGUUGAA